AGCGAACGCUGGCGGCAGGCCUAACACAUGCAAGUCGAACGCCCCUUCGGGGGUGUGUCGGACGGGCGAGUAACGAGUGGGAAUGUGCCCUGUGGUACAGCACAACUUAGUUAUUCUUCAGCUAAAACCUAAUGUGCCCUACGGGGGAAAGGCUUACCGCCUUCGGAGCAGCGCGCGGUGUCUUAGGUGGUUGGGGGGGUGAUGGCCCACGAAGCCGAGGAUCCAUAGCUGGUCGGAGAGGAUGAUCAGCCACACUGGGGCUGAGACACAGCCCAGACUCGUAGGCAAGGGAGCAGAGGGGAAUCCUGCGAAAUGGGGGAGGGCAUGACGGAGCCAUGCCUGGUAAAUGAUGAAGGUGUUAGGAAAGUGAAAUUCUUUCACAGGGGAAGAUAAUGACGGUACCCGGAGAAGAAGCACCGGCUAACUUCGUG
rnacentral:rRNA from 1 species